UUACGGCCACAUCACGUUGAAACACUGGUUCCCGUACGAUCACCAAAGUUAAGCAUCGUCGAUCCUGGUCAGUACCUAGAUGCAUGAUCACUUAGGAAUACCAGGUCCUGUA